AUGAACGCUGGCGGCGUGCCUAAUACAUGCAAGUCGAGCGAACAGAUGAGGAGCUUGCUCCUCUGACGUUAGCGGCGGACGGGUGAGUAACACGUGGAUAACCUACCUAUAAGACUGGGAUAACUUCGGGAAACCGGAGCUAAUACCGGAUAAUAUAUUGAACCGCAUGGUUCAAUAGUGAAAGACGGUUUUGCUGUCACUUAUAGAUGGAUCCGCGCCGCAUUAGCUAGUUGGUAAGGUAACGGCUUACCAAGGCAACGAUGCGUAGCCGACCUGAGAGGGGGGCUCGCCCACCGGGGACUGGAGACCGGUCCCAGCCCCCGCGGGGCGCCAGAAGGGGGAAUUCUUCCGGAGUGGGGAAAGGCGUGAGGGACAACCGCGGGGUGGGUGAGGAGUGCGUACGAUUCGAAAAACGUUUUUAUGGGGAAAAAAAAAAUGGGAAAGUAACUUGGCCCGUCUGGCGGGACCUAAAAAAAAAGCCCCCGCUAACCUCCGU
rnacentral:rRNA from 1 species